rnacentral:misc_RNA from 1 species
AAGUUUCUCGUGCUCGGAGUGAAAAGACCUCUACAAACACAUCCAGUUUUUGGCAAUAAAAAAAUAAAAAUCCCAGUUUUUAUAUAGUUUUUAUUUUUGUGUUCGUUUCGGUUCAUAUAUAUUUUCAAUUUUUUUUGAAAAUAAUUUCGUGCCAAAUUUCCACCCAAUUCGGCAUGGGCAGCUACAUGCAGGCUCCGAUUCUUGGCUUCCUCUGUCAGAUGUGCACGGAGGUGGAGCGUCAUGUCAUCCAUUUGUAUGGGGAGAGGGCCCGCCACCUGCAGCUAGUGGAGAAGAUGGAGAAGUACCUGUCGAUCCGAGUGUGCCAGUCGGAUCCGUUGCCCAAGACCAUAUGCAGUAAGUGUGUGGAGGUGGUGCUGCAUGCGGCCAUGUCCAAGAAGGAGGCUGCUAUCAAACCUGGUCCUGCUGCUCCUCCUCCUGAGUGGACCUGUCCGUGAAGUCAUCGAAGCCGGAGCUGCCCUGCCGUCCGAAGGGAACAAGUAACAAGAGCCGAUCACAGAAACUUAAACACAUACAUGUAUAAAUUUCCUUUUGAAGUACUCUAUCAAUGCCUCUUUUGGAACCAAAGGAUUUUCUAUAUUCUUUGUACUUUAUGAUCCCGGGAGAUGAAAAUAAUCGAGAGGGGAAAAUAAAGAGGCUCUCUUCACUGAUCAGUUGAUUGUUAAAAGAUUCUUAAUAAUUUAACGGCGAAAACACUACUUAUACCUAUAUAUCGUAGCUUUUUGCAUGAAUAACUAUUGAGCGGCGACUUAGCAUCGUUCUCAUGAGGAACAAUAGCACACACUGAACUAUACACUUGCAAUCGUUUUAGUAAAGAACGGUUCUGCGGCGAAAACAUAACCAGACACAUAACCUGAACCGAUAAUCGUUUCCAUUGACGAUAAGGCGAAAACAAAACUUAAUAUAAACAUAGACGAUUUGACGGCGAAAAAAACUCAACUUUAAUAGAAGCUUAUACACUUUCUAGUUUGCAUGAAUAACUUUAGCGGCUUAAACAUAAACUGAUAAACUGAUAAUCUCCAUAGACGAUAAGGCAAAAAACAAAACAAAACUAAUAAACAUAAACGAUUUGACGGCGAAAACACUAAACUAUAUAGGACUUGUAUAGUUCUAUAUUAAAUAGUAUCUAUAUUAGAUACUGCUUGUAGUUUGCAUGAAUAACUAUUGAGCGGCGUAGAUACACUUUACGUUGGGUCUCUUGAAGAGCGCAAACUAACUUAAACUUUGAACACAUCUUGGAUUAUAAUGUGAAACUUUAUCUUAAACAGAACGGCACACUUUCUUUAUCGACCAAUCGCACAUUUGGAAUUUAGCCUAAAUUAAGUUCCAAGUGUGAGAUGCAAAAUUAACAAAAGGCGUGACGCUUGUAUGUUAGUGGAAUUUCAACUCUGCGGCGAUUAACUUGAUAAUUUAUAUUGUGUAUUAUAAUUAUAUGUAUGGAAUUAUUUUAUCGUGAACUUGAUCCACGGACCGGUCUAGCUUGGCUGGACUGAAGUGCAACUUUAUUAUGUGAACCUACACUACCAGAAUCGAGGCAUUGGACAGUACUUCAAAAGGGAACCACAUACUGCGAAUUGAGGACCUGGACCACCUAGACCACCUGGGACCUGGAACCUAGACCCAAUUUGCAUUUUACGAAUCAAGGACCAAGUCCGAAACUGAUCUAUCUAUCUAUGGCAGAAGCGACUAUCUGACAAUAAAGAGCCAAUAGAUGGCUAUAAAAUGCAA